GACGAACGCUGGCGGCGUGCUUAACACAUGCAAGUCGAACGGAAAGGCCCUGCUUUUGUGGGGUGCUCGAGUGGCGAACGGGUGAGUAACACGUGAGUAACCUGCCCUUGACUUUGGGAUAACUUCAGGAAACUGGGGCUAAUACCGGAUAGGAGCUCCUGCUGCAUGGUGGGGGUUGGAAAGUUUCGGCGGUUGGGGAUGGACUCGCGGCUUAUCAGCUUGUUGGUGGGGUAGUGGCUUACCAAGGCUUUGACGGGUAGCCGGCCUGAGAGGGUGACCGGCCACAGGGGGACUGAGAUACGGCCCAGACUCCUACGGGAGGCAGGAGUGGGGAAUAGUGCACAAGGGGCGGAAGCCUGAUGCAGCAACGCCGCGUGCGAGAUGACGGCCUGCGGUGUAUAAACCGCUUUCGCCUGUGACGGAGCGUGAGUGACGGUAAUGGGUAAAGAAGCACCGGCUAACUACGUG
rnacentral:rRNA from 1 species